GUACUUGCUUCAGCAGCACAUAUGCUAAAUUUGGAAUGGUACAAAGAUUAGCAUGGCCCCUGCUCAAGGAUGACAUGCAAAUUAAUGAAGCAUUGCAUAUUUUU